rnacentral:rRNA from 1 species
UACGAAGGGUGCUAGCGUUGUUCGGAAUUACAGGGCGUAAAGGGCGCGUAGGCGGUGUGUCAAGUCAGGCGUGAAAGCCCCGGGCUCAACCUGGGAACAGCGCUUGAGACUGGCACGCUCGAGUUCGGGAGAGGAUGGUGGAAUUCCCAGUGUAGAGGUGAAAUUCGUAGAUAUCAGGAGGAACACCGGUGGCGAAAGCGGCUCCCUGGCCCGAUACUGACGCUCAUGUACGAAAGCGUGGGGAGCAAACAGG